rnacentral:rRNA from 1 species
CAGCAGCCGCGGGAAUACGUAGGGUGCGAGCGUUAAUCGGAAUUACUGGGCGUAAAGCGUGCGCAGGCGGUUGUGUAAGACAGGUGUGAAACCCCCGGGCUUAACCUGGGAACUGCGCUUGUGACUGCACAGCUAGAGUAUGGCAGAGGGGGGUGGAACUCCACGUGUAGCAGUGAAAUGCGUAGAGAUGUGGAGGAAUACCGAUGGCGAAGGCAGCCCCCUGGGCCAAUACUGACGCUCAUGCACGAAAGCGUGGGGAGCAAACAGGAUUAGAUACCCGUGUAGUCCUGUCUCUUAUACA